rnacentral:rRNA from 1 species
AGAGUUUGAUCCUGGCUCAGGAUGAACGCUAGCGGCAGGCUUAAUACAUGCAAGUCGAGGGGGCAGCAAUGUCACCGGCGCACGGGUGCGUAACGCGUAUGCAACCUACCUUAAACUGGGGAAUAGCCCGGGGAAACCCGGAUUAAUACCGCAUAAGACAUUAGAAUCACAUGGUUUAGAUGUUAAAGCUUUGGCGGUUUAAGAUGGGCAUGCGUCCGAUUAGCUAGUUGGGGAGGUAACGGCUCACCAAGGCGACGAUCGGUAGGGGUUCUGAGAGGAAGAUCCCCCACACUGGCACUGAAUACGGGCCAGACUCCUACGGGAGGCAGCAGUAGGGAAUAUUGGGCAAUGGUCGGAAGACUGACCCAGCCAUGCCGCGUGCAGGAAGAAGGGGCUACGCCUCGUAAACUGCUUUUAUAUGGGAAGAAAAAGUCCUUGCGGGAAAACUGACGGUACCAUAUGAAUAAGCACCGGCUAACUACGUGCCAGCAGCCGCGGUAAUACGUAGGGUGCAAGCGUUGUCCGGAUUUAUUGGGUUUAAAGGGUGCGUAGGCGGCUUUAUAAGUCAGGGGUGAAAGAUUACAGCUUAACUGUGAAAUUGCCUUUGAUACUGUAAGGCUUGAGUACAGAUGAGGUGGCCGGA